CCUACUGGGGGCUGCAGUGAGGAAUAUUGGUCAAUGGGCGUAAGCCUGAACCAGCCAAGUCGCGUGAGGGAUGAAGGUUCUAUGGAUCGUAAACCUCUUUUAUAAGGGAAUAAAGUGCGGGACGUGUCCCGUUUUGUAUGUACCUUAUGAAUAAGGAUCGGCUAACUCCGUGCCAGCAGCCGCGGUAAUACGGAAGGUCCGGGCGUUAUCCGGAUUUAUUGGGUUUAAAGGGAGCGUAGGCCGGCUUUUAAGUCAGCUGUGAAAGUCCGCGGCUCAACCGUGGAAUUGCAGUUGAAACUGGAGGCCUUGAGUGCACACAGGGAUGCCGGAAUUCAUGGUGUAGCGGUGGAAUGCUUAGAUAUCAUGAAGAACUCCGAUCGCGAAGGCAAGUGUCCGGGGUGCAACUGACGCUGAGGCUCGAAAGUGCGGGUAUCAAACAGGAUUAGAUACCCGGGUAGUC
rnacentral:rRNA from 1 species